GGACACAUCUGGAGCAAACCAUGUCUGAUUAACGCGGCCAGAUGAGCUCAGGGAAGAGGCCUAGAUGAUUCACUUCAUUCCCCUGCACCAGCUGACCAGCAAAGAGCACCGAGCUGGCAGCAGAACUGGAAAAUUCCCCUCCUGGCCCGAGGUGGGAUGCGCGAUACAGCCUGCCACAGCACCAACCGGGGCCUCCACCUUCCCAGCCAACGGAAAGCUGGCAUCGAAUUUAAUGCUGGAAGG